UACGUAGGGUGCAAGCGUUGUCCGGAAUUAUUGGGCGUAAAGAGCUCGUAGGCGGUUUGUCGCGUCGGCUGUGAAAGCCCGGAGCUCAACUCCGGGUCUGCAGUCGAUACGGGCAGACUUGAGUGUUGCAGGGGAGACUGGAAUUCCUGGUGGUAGCGGUGAAAUGCGCAGAUAUCAAGGAGGAACACCGGUGGCGAAGGCGGGUCUCUGGGCAAACACUGACGCUGAGGAGCGAAAGCGUGGGGAGCGAACAGGA
rnacentral:rRNA from 1 species